UGCGUAUAACUUAAAAAAAAAAGUAGAUGAAAUACAGAACCUGUGUUCUCGCUUCGCUAACAAGCUCUCGUUGAAACAUGAUCUGUAUAUCAAUCAGAUUGGUUUUGCUUUUACUUGUGAUUUUUGUAAGGUAUGUAUUCUAGUAUACCAUUACUAUUUAGAUACAUGUUCUUCCUGAUCAGUUGCGUCUAUUGGUAUAUUUUUGAUUUAACACGAUUUGUUCGAAAUGAAAAGGGAAAGGAUGAAAUUUUUCAACCACACAAAUGUUCUUGUGCCUGUCGGACUAUUUUUUUUUAUAUAAUAAAUGCCGUGAAAUUGUGUCUUUCUUUCAAUAUGGGACGGUUUCGUCUUUCGCAUUUGUCAAUUAUAAAAGACUGGAUACUCUCUAUGUCUUGCUUUUUUGUUGUUGUUGGGAUCUUGUCUCAUUAAAGUAUACUCCUUAUUUUCUUUAAUAUAACCCCAAGGAUCGACCAUGGUACAUAAAUAUCUUCAUCCCUAGACUCUCGUCCGACAAUAAACCCUGGCUGAAAGGGACUCCCG
rnacentral:lncRNA from 1 species